GACUUAAUUUGUGAGGUAUGAAUAUUUUGCUUAAAUCAUUUUCCAUCCUGAAAAAUACUGCCAAUAAAAGUUUUAUUACGUCGAGAUGUCAGUUUAUGUCAGAGAAUAUACGUGCUUUUCAUUUUAGAUAAGCUGAGCUGUGAAAGGCAGACGAACCAGAUCGAAUGUUUUGGGAACUUUGUAAGGUGUUUUUGUUCAGUCAACAAAUCAUUGUUCAGUGAAACGCACAAACACGCACAAAAAAAAAAAAACAGGAUGUCCCUUUGCACACACCGUAUGUAAAUGCAGCAGCGCCAAAGACAGACGAACGUUGAGGAGCUGACGACAGUGGCGACUUUGUGAGGACAAUGACUUGAAGAAAGCUGAGAGAGACAUGGCUAAUACAGUCAUUGGAAUUUUCAUUGUCCGAGCUGAAGGUGCAGGACCUGAACAACCACCAUUGGAUGUUGGGAUCAUUGUUGAAGGAGUGAAAGUGCUUCAGCAUCUACGAGAUGUCACCAAGGCUUGUGCUCUCCUCUUGGGAGUAAUAUAUACCUUGAAUCUUAGCUAUCCAUGUGAUCUCAAGUACACCUUUGAGUUUCUUCAAAAGGUGUUACUGGAACUUGAUGCAAGCAAACUUUCACACAAAAUGCAGGUACUUAAAAAUAAACUUAUUGAAUAAUUAACUGAUGUUUAGUUUAAUUCCAGUACAAUACUGCUGUUUGAAAAACAAUAUUGUUUUUGUGUUUAUUUUUUUGUAUAAAAAAACAUGCCUCAUUCCUUUCUAUGAGGGUCAAGUUCUGUAGCACUUUGGGGUGCGUUAGACACGAAUUGUCAUGCUUGUAGAA